UACGGAGGAUCCGAGCGUUAUCCGGAUUUAUUGGGUUUAAAGGGUGCGUAGGCGGCCUAUUAAGUCAGGGGUGAAAUACGGUGGCUCAACCAUCGCAGUGCCUUUGAUACUGAUGGGCUUGAAUCCAUUUGAAGUGGGCGGAAUAAGACAAGUAGCGGUGAAAUGCAUAGAUAUGUCUUAGAACUCCGAUUGCGAAGGCAGCUCACUAAGCUGGUAUUGACGCUGAUGCACGAAAGCGUGGGGAGCAAACAGG
rnacentral:rRNA from 1 species